rnacentral:rRNA from 1 species
UACAGAGGGGGCAAGCGUUUGUUCGGAAUUACUGGGCGUAAAGGGCGCGUAGGCGGCCUGUUAAGUCGAACGUGAAAUCCCCGGGCUCAACCCGGGAACUGCGUCCGAUACUGGCAGGCUUGAAUCCGGGAGAGGGAUGCGGAAUUCCAGGUGUAGCGGUGAAAUGCGUAGAUAUCUGGAGGAACACCGGUGGCGAAGGCGGCAUCCUGGACCGGCAUUGACGCUGAGGCGCGAAAGCCAGGGGAGCAAACGGGG